GUCAAGCCCGAGGAUGACAUGCGGUAGGGUUCGUAAAAACUAGGGCGAGGUUCUUGCACGAACCGGCUGAUCGGCUUUGCGAAGGCUGAGGUUAAGGGUCACAGCAACGUCCCUUCCCAGUCCCCUCGACUCCUCCCCGGUCAUCCUCGGGCUUGACCC
rnacentral:sRNA from 1 species